rnacentral:lncRNA from 1 species
AAAAUUAAUCUGAGAAUUAGGACCAUGGGAGGCACCAGUGACCAGAGGUGGCUGUCCCCUUCCUGGGACAGGCCUCUCUAGGAUGGAUCUCUGAGCUCAGGAUGAGAAGGAGCCCAAGGCCGUGGCCAGAUUGGAGAGGCAGAGGGAGGAGGACCCAGGGCCAUCGUGGAGCAGGGACUGAGCUCGCAGUGGGGACGCAGGGACAGGGCAGGAGGCGAGGGCAGCCCUAGCAGGUCCCUGAGCUGGGGCUGGGAGGGCCAGGCCUGAGCAUUUAUUGAAGUGCACUUUGGACCCAGCAGGAUCGUGAGCAGGAGAUAUACGGACGUUUUGCUUGAAGUCAGAUAACGUGUGUGUUGUUAGCGCCUGACACACAGUAGGUAGUUAAUAAAGGAGAGCUUUAUCGUGGUUCAUGGUCCCUCGGCUUCACCACGAAUCACUAGCCUCCCAGAGGUCGUGUGCCUUCAUUCUGGAGGGGCUGGGGGACACGGGCUGCACCUGCCAGGAGGAAGGGAGAGGCUGGAGCCAGCCCCGAUCCCUGUGAUUUCCUCCCCGACCCCUCCGCCAGCUAGAUGCCACCACCUGGCCAGGCCAAGGGGCAGCAGGGCAGGCUGGCCGGGCCCCCUCCAGCUGGCUGUAGCCCCAGG